GAGUUUGAUCCUGGCUCAGGACGAACGCUGGCGGCGUGCCUAAUACAUGCAAGUCGAGCGAGGGUUUUUAAGACCCUAGCGGCGGACGGGUGAGUAACACGUAGGCAACCUGCCUCCUCAGACCGGGAUAACAUAGGGAAACGUUAUGCUAAUACCGGAUAGGUUUUUGGAUUGCAUGAUCCGAAAGAAAAGAUGGCUUUUUG
rnacentral:rRNA from 1 species